rnacentral:rRNA from 1 species
CCCUUAGAUGUCCUGGGCUGCACGCGCGCUACAUUGGGUGCUGAAAUAUGAGAGUGUGAUGCCUGGUCCGAAAUGUUCUGGGUAACCACUAAAAAGCACCGCAUGUGAUUGGGAUUGUCUCUUGUAACUAAGAGACAUGAACGAGGAAUUCCUAGUAAUUUGAUGUCAACAACAUCAUGUGAUUACGUCCCUGCCCUUUGUACACACCGCCCGUCGCUACUACUGAUUGGAUGAUUAAGCGAGAACCGCUGAAGCUUGCUUUUGGGACUUCGGUCUCCGAUUGUGAGUGGACGCCCAUCGAGCUUAGUUGUCUAGAGGAAGUAAAAGUCGUAACA